GAGGGUGUAGCUCAGUGGUAGAGCGCAUGCUUAGCAUGUAUGAGGUUCUGCUGUCAAUCCCCAGUACCUCCG
rnacentral:tRNA from 1 species